CUCUGAGGUCAGUAAUCUACUUUGUGGUCAGUAAUCUACUCUGAGGUCAGUGAUCUUCUCUGAGGUCAGUAAUCCAAUCCGAGGUCAGUAAUCUACACUGAGGUCAGUAAUCUACUCUGAGGUCAGUAAUCUACUCCGAG